rnacentral:ncRNA from 2 species
AUUCACAUGUUACUACAUUCUCGUAUAUUUUUGGGAAUAUGGCCCAAAAGUUUCUACAGGCAACCAUGAAUUGCCGUCUACGGGUGAAAAUGCAUCUAGG